UGUUUACUUAUUUUAGAUGAUGACAAAACAUGGGGAAAAGAAUUCAAAGACCUUAUUGAUGACGAUUCUCUUAUUGAUAUCUAGUGAUAGUGGAGAUCCUGAUAUUUCUGGUGGUAAAAAAGAAAGAGAUUAGAUGAUGAAGAAUUAGAUGAUCGACUUGAAGAUGAUGAUUUUGACCUCAUCGAAGAAAAAUAAGGGAUUAAGAUUGAUCCAGAAAGGAAAAUCAAACGUCUAAGGAGAAUUGGAGCGAAUUAAUGUAAAGGGCAACAAAGGAGAACAAUGGACAUGGAUUCGUCCUCAGCUGAGUCCUAUUCAACUAACUCGCGAUACCUUUGGUGUAGACUUUGAUUACAAUGAAUUUUCGAGAUACGAUGAAGAGGAAUAUGAUGAAGAUGAGGAGGAAGACAAUAGUGCAAAAAU